GCUGGGUGCAGUGGCUUAUACCUGUAAUCCCAGCACUUUGGGAGGCCGAGGCAGGGGAAUCACCUGAGGUCAGGAGUUCGAGACCAGCCUGGCCAACAUGGUGAAACCCUGUCUCUA
rnacentral:SRP_RNA from 1 species